GACAGAGGAUGCAAGCGUUAUCCGGAAUGAUUGGGCGUAAAGCGUCUGUAGGUGGCUUUUUUAAGUCUGCCGUCAAAUCCCCAGGGCUCAACCCUGGACAGGCGGUGGAAACUACCAAGCUGGAGUACGGUAGGGGGCAGAGGGAAUUUCCGGUGGAGCGGUGAAAUGCGUAGAGAUCGGAAAGAACACCAACGGCGAAAGCACUCUGCUGGGCCGACACUGACACUGAGAGACGAAAGCUAGGGAGCGAAUGGG
rnacentral:rRNA from 1 species